GUGGGAGAAAAUAGUUUUAGCUAUACCGCGAACAUACGUACCACUGACUGGAUUAAGAGUUUUGUCGGUUUUCCAGAGCAUCUUGCUUUGAACUAACAGUCAUCACAGGGCACGUCGUCGGCCAUUGCACCUGGACGCUCAAAAACCAGGCAGAAUCUUGGACAGUGACGAGACCCAUUUGAUCAAUCCCAGAUUUCGUCAUUUUCACCGACGUGAUCGAGACUUUUCUAUUCCUCAGGGAGGAUUCUCCCC